rnacentral:lncRNA from 1 species
AUUUUCUUUUUAUUUAUUUAUUAUUUUAUUUUUUGUCGCAUUAUUAGUAAAAUCACGUGCAGAAAUUUCCACGCCCAUCGGCGCUGUUUUGGAUUUGCGCUCUCGCGCUAAUUUGCCCAUAAGACUUUUGCGAGAGAGCGCAGAGUUUCUCUUUGGAACGCAAGAUUUUGGGAGAGAACGCAGAGUUUAUUUUUGGAUCACAAGACUUUUGGGAGAGAACGCAAAAUAUCUGUUUGGAACGCAAGACUUUUACGAGAGAAUGCAACUUUUGCAAGGGAACGCAAAGUUCACUCAGUAAAGCAUUGAAAAACAGGUUAUCCUUCUAACUCAAAGUGAACUCAGUGUUUCUCAGGGGAACAAAAAUUGGAUAACUAUAUAUAGGCCAUUUAUAAAUAAUUCAUUUAUAAAUGAAUGAAUGAAUCUUCAGCCAGUUUAUGUCAAUUCUUUUCAAUCACUAUGUAUUAAAAAAAAAAAGAUUUUUUAUACCGGGUUUCUAGGAAACGCCAUGUAAUUGACAGGUUUAAAAAGUGAAUGUGGACCUGUGAUUGGUCCGCAGCGCGACACAUCACCUGGGCGUGACCAUAGGUGUGGACUCUCGCUAUAACCGCAGCCGGAGGCAGAUCGCUGUUCUCGGGUUUGACCGAAGGUGCGAGCAGAACCACUGAGAGCAGCGAUGACCGGGACACCUCUCUGGUGCUGCCCUCCGACAAAAAUACAGCGGACGGGGCAGCAGCGCGUCCUGGAGCAGGUGAACACCAUAAAGAGAAGCAAGUCGAAGAUGGUCAAGAAUGACUCCAUUCCGUCGCCAACAACUCCAGCAUCGGUGACAGAAUACAGCGACCCUAAAUUCCAGUUCUCACCAACAAAACUGAACGACACACUCUUCAAGUUUAACACACACACACACACACACACACACACACACACACACACACACACACACACACACACACACACACACUAUGUGCUCCGCAGCAUGAUUUAUAGUUACUGUAUGUCUUGACAACACUGAUUUAUGAUUGUUAUCCAGAGUUUCACUGUCACGGCAGACACGUGCUUGUACAAUGAGACAUUUACAAAAUGGGCUGUUUAGCGAUUCCCAUUUUUCCAUGCCCAAAUUUAAGACUUCUCAAAAUGAUAAUUAAAAUGUUUAAUUAUACAAUUUAAGAAAGCUUAAAAUUCAUAAAACUCGUGCUCCUAAAUACACUUUACAGUUUGCAUGCAUCCAUUUUUCAUCACAAAUGCAAGAGAAAUGCUUGCACUGUCGAACUCAGCUAGUGUGACCUAAUAUAUAAAAUAUUGCCAUUAUUAGCCUUAAAUGUAUUUCAAUUAUUAAAAGUGUAAAUUAAUUAUACAGAGUGUUUGCAAACCUUUUAGGUCGUAUUCAAACAUUUUCACGCCAAAUUGUUUUGUAGAUAUUGUUGAGGGAAUCUCACAAAAUCAGGUACUUAACUGAUUUACUUAACGACUAAAUAUACAGGGUGUAUAUUAUUUAUAAUUUAAACUUGUUUCUCUCUCUCUCACAUACACACUAUUCUCAUUAUUCUGUUGUGGUGGGGGAAAAAGUACAUUAUUUGAGUUUUUAAACUUUAUUCAUUAACAAUGUUCAUUGUAUUUGGACCAAUAGGCCUAUAUUACAGUAAUGAUAAUCUAAAAGAAAAUCAGAAGAGUGUUUGAAGAAUUAAAGACAAAUUCAAAAUAAAAAAAAACAUACCAGAUACAUUACAGUAAAGAAAAUAGGUAUUUUUUUAGCAUUGCAGUAUUUUAUUCAUGCAAAUAUAUUGUAUAUUUUUGGUUUUCUAUUUUAGCUAAAAGAAAAUCAGAAGAGUGUUUGAAGAAUUAAAGACAAAUUCAAAAUAAAAAAAACAUCCAGAUACAUUACAGUAAAGAAAAUGGUAUUUUUUUGCAUUGCAGUAUUUUAUUCAUGCAAAUAUAUUGUAUAUUUUUGGUUUUCAUUUUAGCUUAUAAUAUUACUGAGCAUGAUUGUGAUAUUCAGUCUUUAGCAUUGCAUUUCCUUUUCAGUGUAUAUUUAAGUUUCCACAUCUGUGAAUUAGCACACUAACACAGCAGUCUGUGGUAUUGUGAUAUGAAGCUGGUUGCUGUUGUGAAGAAGGAGGCUGGUGGAACAGUUUUGCUCGUUUUGUUCCCUCUGUGUGUAUAUUCUUAAACCAACUGUAUUUUGUUUAUGCAGCGUAAUACCUAAGAAUGUGCUCGUCGCUCUGUGUUCAGCAUCUGUUCUGUACACAUUGCCUAAGUAAGGAGGGGGUUACUUUGUUUUAUUAUGCUCUAUUGAACGGCAACUUCUAAAAAGAUAUGAUGGCAAAGAUAUAAAAUGUUUAUUAUUGCAAGAUAUUAGAUCAAAUCUAGCUACAGGUCAAUUUUUUAUGAGAUUAUAAUGUUUUGUAGUUUAACUUUGAUCAGUCCAGCUUUUGAAAUAAGUUUCCAAAUAAGAGCGGCAGGAAUGGUGUCAGAGUUAAUGAAUAGAUAUGUUUUGAUAAAGGAAAGGAUAAGAAGUUAUUUUUAGGCUUUGUGCAUUUAUGAAAAACGUGUCAUUACUUCUUAACUGUAACUUUCUUUGACAUAGGCAAUGUGUCUGUAUAUAUUGUGUAAUAUUAAUAGCAAUCAGAAUUAUAUACAGUUUAUUGUCAUGCAAACACUUCCUUUUUGCACUUUUGUGUGUAUUUGUCAGUGACAUGAAAAAUAAUUUUAUGAUUUAAAUCGCAAUGCAGAUUACAGAAUUACCGAAAACAAAAAUCAUAAUUGUUUAAUACUUGAUUGGCUCACCCAGAAAAAUGAAAAAUUAGCUACAAAUUUACCCUCAGGCCAUCCAAGAUGUAGAUGAGUUUUUUUCUUCAUCAGAACAGAUUUGGAGAAAUGUAGAUUACAUCCCUUGCUCCUAUGUGUGUGGAGUUUGAUGGACUCACUGGAGGAAGCAUUUGAAGGUAAAACACCUUAAUGAUGGAUUUGUUUUUGCUUCACAAGAUGGAUUGGAGUGGUGUGGACUACUUGUGGAUUAUUGUGAUGUUUUUAUCAGCUGUUUGGACUCUUAUUCUGACGGCACCCAUUCACUGCAGAGGAUCUAUUGGUGAGCAACUGAUGUGAUGCUACGUUUCUCCAAAUCUGUUCUGAUGAAGAACCCAACUCAUCUACAUCUUGCAUGCCCUGAGGGCGAGUACAUUUUUAGAAAAUUUUAAUUUUUUUGGAUGAACUAUUCCUUUACUCAGAAUACAGAUCUUUAUAAGGACAAUGCUGUUCAUGUAAACAAACUUAUUGUAGAGCAACUUAAUUAUGCCCUGCAUGUUUCAUCUAGAUCUACUGGUAGUGCUGUAGCAGUUUUAUAAAAAAUUUUGACACAGUUCUCAGUUCCAGGUUAUUGCUGCCUAGUGAUCAACAUCAUAAAUUGGAGGGUUAAAGUUAAUCAUUUACAGUAAAGUCUUUCAUUAGCAGGGGUGUUAAUGGCCAGUUGCCAAAGAAACACACCCAAUCAGAAUAUCACAGUCACAGAGAUAUAAUAGAUUGUGUUCAUAGUCAUAUGACCAGUAAAUCAUUGAUUUUAUAUUACUUAAAUCAAUCGGAGCUGGCUGUGUGAUUCCAGGGAAAGAGUUCAGUAGUACUGUCAAUGGGAA